GAUGAACGCUGGCGGCGUGCCUAAUACAUGCAAGUCGAGCGAAUGGAUUAAGAGCUUGCUCUUAUGAAGUUAGCGGCGGACGGGUGAGUAACACGUGGGUAACCUGCCCAUAAGACUGGGAUAACUCCGGGAAACCGGGGCUAAUACCGGAUAACAUUUUGAACCGCAUGGUUCGAAAUUGAAAGGCGGCUUCGGCUGUCACUUAUGGAUGGACCCGCGUCGCGUUAGCUAGUUGGGGAGGUAACGGCUCACCAAGGCAACGAUGCGUAGCCGACCUGAGAGGGUGAUCGGCCACACUGGGACUGAGACACGGCCCAGACUCCUACGGGAGGCAGCAGUAGGGAAUCUUCCGCAAUGGACGAAGGUCUGACGGAGCAACGCCGCGUGAGUGAUGAAGGCUUUCGGGUCGUAAAACUCUGUUGUUAGGGAAGAACAAGUGCUAGUUGAAUAAGCUGGCACCUUGACGGUACCUAACCAGAAAGCCACGGCUAACUACGUGCCAGCAGCCGCCGUAA
rnacentral:rRNA from 1 species